AGUUAUGCUUAGCUACCUCCAGCUGAAGCAAGGAAAUUGGAAGCUGGGCUAUUACCUCUUCCAGAUCAAGUCUGGAGGGGUUAGGACAGGGGUCCUUCUGGUUGUGCUAUGUGGGAUGCUGCCUCAGCACGGCCUGAUGAGUGGUGGCAUGUCUGCGCCCAGGAUCUGAGCCAGUGAAACUUUGGGCCACCAAAGUGGAGCAUGCAAACCUAACCACUCGGCCAUGAGAGAGAUCCCAGGGCUUCUCUUCCUCUAAGCCACCUUCAGGUAUCUUGGAGACCCACUUUCCAUUGGACUGGUGAAUAUUAUUGUCCUGAGAAGAUUAAACGAGUCUUCUUGUCACUCCAAGAAGAAAGGCCAUGGAUACUGAAAUCAUGGGUUCCCCAACAAAACAUCCCAGCAAGAUCACCCUACAGUGAAGUUUACAAUCAGAAACUAUGCUCAUGUGCUCAGAGAUUCCAACCAGCUUUUUACUCCCCCCACUGUUAUAUACAGCAGCAAUCAAAUAUUUCUAGACAUAUGAUGAUAAUUUCUAACAUAAAAGAUAGAUAUUAAAACAAAAAAAUGGAGAAAAAUAAACAACUUGUAUAGAACAGAGA
rnacentral:lncRNA from 1 species